AGGGAUGAAAGACGGUAUUCGGCUGUCACUUACAGAUGGACCCGCGGCGCAUUAGCUAGUUGGUGGGGUAAUGGCUCACCAAGGCGACGAUGCGUAGCCGACCUGAGAGGGUGAUCGGCCACACUGGGACUGAGACACGGCCCAGACUCCUACGGGAGGCAGCAGUAGGGAAUCUUCCGCAAUGGACGAAAGUCUGACGGAGCAACGCCGCGUGAGUGAUGAAGGUUUUCGGAUCGUAAAGCUCUGUUGUUAGGGAAGAACAAGUGCGAGAGUAACUGCUCGCACCUUGACGGU
rnacentral:rRNA from 1 species